AUACGUAGGGGACGAGCGUUGUCCGGAAUUACUGGGCGUAAAGGGCGCGCAGGCGGAUAUUUAAGUCAGCUGUAAAAGGCAUGAGCUCAACUCAUGUAUGCGGUUGAAACUGGGUAUCUAGAGUGCUGGAGAGGUAGGCGGAAUUCCCGGGGUAGCGGUGAAAUGCGUAGAUAUCGGGAAGAACACCAGUGGCGAAGGCGGCUUACUGGCCAGCAACUGACGCUGAGGCGCGAAAGCCAGGGGAGCGAACGGGAUUAGAUACCCCGGUAGUCCUGGCCGUAAACGAUGAAUGCUAGGUGUGGGUGUCGAGAGGCAUCCGUGCCGGAGUUAACGCGAUAAGCAUUCCGCCUGGGGAGUACGAUCGCAAGAUUGAAACUCAAAUGAAUGGACGGGG
rnacentral:rRNA from 1 species